UACGGAAGGUGCAAGCGUUGUCCGGAAUUAUGGGGCGUAAAGAGCUCGUAGGCGGUCUGUCGCGUCGGAUGUGAAAACCCAGGGCUCAACCCUGGGCCUGCAUUCGAUACGGGCAGACUAGAGUUCGGUAGGGGAGACUGGAAUUCCUGGUGUAGCGGUGAAAUGCGCAGAUAUCAGGAGGAAUACCCGUGGCGAAACAGGCUCUCUGGGACGGUACUGACGCUGAGACGCGAAAGCGUGGGGAGCAAACAGG
rnacentral:rRNA from 1 species